rnacentral:rRNA from 1 species
UACGGAGGGUGCAAGCGUUAAUCGGAAUUACUGGGCGUAAAGCGUGCGUAGGCGGUUCGUUAAGUCUGUCGUGAAAUCCCCGGGCUCAACCUGGGAAUGGCGAUGGAUACUGGCGAGCUAGAGUGUGUCAGAGGAUGGUGGAAUUCCCGGUGUAGCGGUGAAAUGCGUAGAGAUCGGGAGGAACAUCAGUGGCGAAGGCGGCCAUCUGGGACAACACUGACGCUGAAGCACGAAAGCGUGGGGAGCAAACAGG